CCUUUAGAGACUGUGAUUUCAAUCUGCCUGGCUACUGCCAGUGAUCAAUAAUUCUAUUAAGAUUAGAGCACCAACAUCCACCAGCUCUGUCCAAUUAACUUGUUCAUUUUAGUGCCCUGGAGACUAAAUUGAAUGCUAGGAGGGCCCAACGGAAAGGUGGUUAUUCACUUAAUUGUGAUUUGUAGAGAACUGAUAAAUGACUUGCAAAUGCAAAC